rnacentral:rRNA from 1 species
AAAGAGGGGGAUAGCCUCCCGAAAGGGAGAUUAAUACCGCAUAAUAAUCAGUUUUCACAUGGAGACUGAUUUAAAGGAGUAAUCCGCUUUGAGAUGGACCCGCGGCGCAUUAGCUAGUUGGUAGGGUAACGGCCUACCAAGGCGACGAUGCGUAGCCGACCUGAGAGGGUGAUCGGCCACAUUGGAACUGAGAGACGGUA